CGCCACAGCACUCCAGCCUGGGCAACAAGAGCAAAACUCUGUCUCAAAAAAAAAAAAAAAUUCACUUUGUCAGAGAAACUAAGACUCAAUCAGUGUGAGCAUUAUAAAUAAAGAGAAUGUAAAUGUUGUGAAGUUGAAACAUUAAGUUGGAGUUUACUGAAGAGAAAGCUUUUUCAGGGCCUAUACCUCUCCUGCCUUUACAGAUUUUCUUUUCCUCGAGCUACCAAAAGAUGCCUUUGUCCUUGAGGUCUGGUUACAAAUCAAGGUAUUUUACGAUAUUCAUCUUUAUCACUUUUUUUCUUGGAACAGAAGAUAAACAGCCCUGUGCCAUUCCUGGCUGGUGUCGUUCCUCUGGGGAAGAAGGCAGCUCUGCUGAACCAGCUACAUCCCUUGGCCCGGCAGGAGGCAGGACGAGGGAGUGAGCUGCGCAAAGAACACAUCCACCUGGGCUUGCUCCUCCGAACACCUUCAACACUCUCAGCCUCCUCUCCCACUCCGUUCUCCUCUUCUGAGCUUUCCCGAAUCACCAGUGCGUGGAGGCGGCCUCUCGUUCCUGUCCACCUCAUCACAGGCCGACACCCUAAUCACAGACAACGGAAACGGCUCCUGGACUCAGAUUCCAGAGGCUCCAAGGCCCUCGGUCCUGGCCAGGCCCCUCCAUGGUCACAGCAGUGAUGGCCUCGUCCUUCCCACAUGAGGGCCCCAAGGGUAACCCUGGAUAACUCAGCAUGAUCUCCCACCCAAGGGCCCUGCCUGGAGCCUGAGUCCACCUCAGCUGCGUGUCCUUUCCCCCAAGCCCAACACACUCAGUCUCUGGGGAUCAGGGUCUGUGCGUCUCUGGGUGACUGCUCCACCUGCCCCAGCAGGGCGCCGCGGGUGCAUGGGUCCUGUGCCGGCAUCUGCCUGGCUGUCACCACGGGCAUCUGCCUGAAGGCAGCAGUUCUCCGCCUUCCCGCCUGCUGUGAACCUGGUUUCUGCUCCCUGGUUUCUGCCUGGCUCCCACGGAAAAGAUCGCCACAUUCUCUGCUUCUCUCCACUGUCUGCCCUCCUCCGACAGGCACGGCCAUUUCUGUCGAGUGCCUCUGAACCUCAGAGUUCAUGCAACGCUUGAGGUGAACAGAAAGCCCAGGUCUCCAUUCAGGGCGGGUUCGCAGACUCUCAUAGCCCCCACACUUGUCGCUCUCAGCAGCUAUCUCAGAACCUGUUAUUAACCAAGUGAUGCGAUUGGUCUCUCUUCUCAUUAGACCAUGACCUCUAUGGGGACGCGAACCUGUUUAUUCCCACACUGAGGCUUCAACCCAGGGCCUACACUUAGGAAAUACCUGACAUUUGUUGAGUUUGUGAACAGAUGAGCACAUCCUCCAUUAAAUGAAGCUGAGUGAAGUGAAGGCUGAGAGGAGAUGGUGACAGCAGGAGAUGCAGCUGUGGGGGCAGAUUCUCCCUCUCAGUGACGUUGUCACCAAUGCAGCAGCUGAUCGGCAGCUGACUGUGUUGGGGUCAAUUGGGCAGCUUCAGUCUGUCCCUCUGCAGAGAUGGCUCAUGGUGCAGAUAUGCAGCGAGCAGGCCUGGGUCUCCUGCAGGCCAGUCCUCACCCACCUGUGUCUCAGUUUCCUCUUUUAUAAAACAGUGACAAGGCAGUCCUCCCCUCAUAGCAACGCGGGGGUGGCUGAGGGAGCUGUGAGCCCUUGUCCCUGGACUUAGGACAGGGUCUGGUGCCCUUUGAGACUGGGCCACCCUUUAAGCUCCAGCACUCCAGUGACUCCAGCAGCAUCAGCUGUGCUCCGCUCCCACGAAGAUGCUCUAGAAUGUAGACACACCAUUGCUUUUGUGGAACCAAGAGAGGAAAAACACUUCCAAUUAAACUAUGACAAGCCAUGUAACUAAGAUACAUUCUGAUUCCUGAAAUGUGAGGCUGUGAUCACCAUGUGUGCCCCAGCAUCUAGAAGACGCCAGGGUCCCAAGGGAAGACACUGAGGACCAUGAUGGGGUGGUGCCCAGUGGGGCGCGAUGGCUGAGCAGGCUGGUGGGGGCCAGCUGCCAAGCCGGGUGGGCUAGAGCCCGGGUCCCAUAUCACCUCCCGGCCCAGGAGCUGGCAGAAUGCACCUGCACGUGGUAUUUGCUGUGGCUCCUGACUCUGCCAGCAUGAAACACAUUUAUCUCAAAAUUUCUUGCGAACACAAACUUGAUAUUUUUGUUCUUAGAAUAUUUACUGGGAAAGGGCAUAAGGACAAAAAGGCACUUUGUUUAGUAACAUUUUACUGAAUUCGUAUUUAAUUCAUCACAAAAGCAUCUAAGCACCUUGGUGGACCCAAAACCACACCUGGAGACAUGUCAGUCUCAGACCACAGUUGCUAGAAGGGCGCUUGUGACAUCUCAACAUGUUCCCAGGGGUCCCAAGACCUCAGCCUGGGACUCUGCACCCCAAAAUGAGGUUUACAGCCCUUAGUCGGGUCUGCACGUUCUUAGCUUCUAGAGCAGCCUCCAAGAUGGGAGCUCAUUUACACCUGUACACCCUUGAGCACCCCAACUCUGAGCCUCCCCAGCAGCCAGGUGUUGUCCUGCUGUGCAGAAGCACUUGACUGUUUUUAACUGGUGUCGACACACUUCCUGUCAUUUACCCUCAUUGUGCGUGUAAACUGUGCCUACGCGAUUCAGGUCGAUGCUGUUGUGGGGCUUGUUAAGAACCCUGCUGCAAGGUGGGUUGCUGCCCCGGAGGCAUCUUCUUCAAAGCCUGGAUUUCUAUUAGUUCGUUUUCAGGGGUGGAAUGGCUGCAUGCAUUUCCCACCUGUGCACCCUGCCCAUGGUAGACCAGAAGGAAGAUUAGUAGGAAGGAGUUUGCAGCAAAAGAAAUGUUUUUCCUAAUCUCUAAGCAGGCUAUACAGACUGUCCUAGCCUUAUCUCACAGCCAGUAGUGAAUUAAAACCCAGAAAGCUGCUUCUGCAGGAGGGAUGAGCACUGCUAAGAAGCUGCUGAUAAUGUCCUUCGGGUGAUCCUCUUGUUUUUUUAAAACAUAGACUUUUGUCUCCAUUGGAUUAUUUCCCUUCUCUGAGGGCCCCUGCAGUGGCUCAUGCUCAGAUCAGCAUGAGCCCAGAUGCUCUGGGGUCCAGCACAAUGACCACACCCAGCCCCUCGGUUACAGCACAAUGACCACACCCAGCCCCUGGGUUACAGCACAAUGACCACACCCAGCCUCUCGGUUACCUGAGGUGAGCACGGGUGAAGGGGAAUGAGGAAGGCCCUGCUGCAGGGCGGGCAGCGCGGAGGGAGGGGCUCGAAUGGGCCGGGGGGUCUGCUUUCUCGGGGAGGGGCCAUGGGUGCAGGCGACAGACACACCUGAGCACUUGGGGAAUCAUCUUCCUGACUUCUCGGCUCUGGGCUCCAGGGUCCAGUCCGGCUCCCACCCACACAGAAGGAAAAGGAUGAACAAACUGAAAAUCAACAACUCUUCUUCACCCAUCAGAGAACUGAGUCACCAGGCAAAGCACGGACCCCGAAUCAGGAGGCACAGACAAGCGGGUUCCGAGGACCUCGGCUGACAGGAGCAGAACCUCUGCGGGGCCAGCGCCAGGGACCUGAGCUGCCCCUGAUGAAUUUCUGGAGAUGCCACCUGGACAAAUGAGAGAGAAAAAAUCCAGGGGGACCCAGUCAUGGGGGACCUGCACUUGUGGGACUCUGACUGACACCCCUGAGAAGGCAGAGGAGGAUCAACAAUGUAACAUAGACCCUCUUUCUAUCCCCUUUGGCAAAUACACACGUCACGUGGUUGCUGUUGUCUGUCUUAAUUUGGAUGGUGAACAGUACAACAUGAGGAAGUGGAAUCAAUGCACAGAAAUUAAGCUAAUAUCUUCAGUCUUUGUAACAUCACUUGAGCAGCUUCACAAAGUCACUCAUGCCUAGUGGCCCUAUUAGUUGCUCUUCUCCCAUCAAUGUGCUUUGGAAUUUCCAUCAGUAGCUGGCUAUGCAUUAGUCAUGGAUCAGACAGCAGAAAGACACAGACCUUGCCAAGUCCCACCUAGGUAGCUACACAGGGAGCCCUCUAUUGACCGUGGCCCAGAACAUGUGCAAGCUACUUUCCAUAUGAGAGGGAGGGGCACUGGAUUAAGAACCUGGUGACUGAGGAGGAAAUAUCCCCACCAGUGCUUUGGUGGGACUAGAAAAUGGAGCCCACUCCUGACACUAGGAAGUGCCCAUCUGAAGUUUAAUUGAAGACAAAAAUCCCAAUUUUGGUGCCCAAAUGUCUCUGCCUUUUGAAAUUAUCGUGUAAAUUCACUGAUAAUUCUCUUAGAUUCAUGUGGAGACAUUAGUAUUUUAACUGUUAUUCAUGCCUUUUAAGGUGAUCUUUAGAAGACCCUACAUUGUGUUCUACUUGCUUGGCAGGGCUCCCUCCUAGAAAUUGAGACAAUAAACUUAUGCACAUGUGGACUGCAACAUCAGAGCCCUGGUUCUGUUGAGUAAAAGUAUAGAGAAUUUUUCGGAAAACAGGCAGAAGUGUGGGUAUUUUUGCUAUUCUUUGCUUCACUUAUCUACAGAGGUGGAUCAAGACACCUGGGAAGUGGAAAAUGUGGGUUAGCAAAUAGAGAAGAGGCUGCUACUAGGCUGGGAAGUGCCUCCCUCAUUUACAACUAGCCAGAGACACUGAACUUGGCUGUCCAGGCAAGCCUGGGUCCUGGGAUAUAUGAAAUAAACUUUGGCCUUUAUACCGACUUAUUCCUCAAGCCAAGUUGUUUCACCAACUUCGUUCUGAAGAUCCAGACCCCAGUUGGCAUGAAUCCAUCCCCCUUGCCAUCUUCAGCCCUCCCGGUGGAGCGGAGGUUCUCACCUAAAUAGAGAAGCUAAAUUUCUACGUCCCGAUUUUACCUUUUCCAUGUGUACAUCAGGCAUUUUUCUCCAAAAGAUUGGAAUCAUUUGUGUUGACAUCUUCACUUAUUCAAUUCUACUUUCUCUUCUAACUUAGUAAGGAUCUCUGCUAGUUGAAUUGGCUUUAAUUUCUUUUUCUCCCAGAAGUUAUUGGAAGAAUGCCCAUUAACCAUUUCAUCAUAUUAUUUCUAUAAGCCAAAUUAAUUUUCCAGAAUGUGCAGCAUAUCACCAUAAUGAUUUGCUAAGACCAGUUGCAUUAGAAAAUAUUGCCUUUCUAUUUUUUCUGUAUUUUUAAAUUCAAUCAAAAAGGAAUAAACUUCUGCUGACAAAACCGCUUGGAAAAACCCAUGCUGUUUAACACGCAAUUUUCCUAUCUUCGGUUUACUAGCUUCUUUGCCAAAACCCUGGUGGCGCGGCAUCUGUGGCAAGUUGUCAUCAUUUCUACAACUAGUGGCCCUAACUGGAAACUUGGAAAAUUCCCACUCCUGGACAGUCUGGCACAUGGAAACAUUCUUCUCAAGAUGUGUUAGAAUAAAGACUCAUUAAUGAACAGAAAACACCAACAGUUCUCAUAGUUUACAAUAGGCACAGGCCCAGUGCGGGGCUGGCGGUGGCUGGAAUUGGCUUGGGGGAGUGGACCAAGUGCACCCCUUCCCGGCUUCUCAUUCAGUGUUGUCUCAUGGGCAGUGUGAAAUUAGCCGUGGUUGGAGUCUAUACAUAACAGAAAUUAGCAAACGCUACAAAUAAGGGCUACCUCACACUCCUGCCCCUCUUCAGAAGAGCUGGGUUUUCAGCUCACCCUGGACAUAAUGCCCCUGGCUACCUGGGCCAUGGCCAGGGUCUGAAUGUUUGGUUCCCCUCUAAGAUUCCUAUGUUGAAAUCCUAAUCCCCAUGUGACAGUGUUAGGAGGCAGGGUCUUGAGAGGUGAUGAGGUCACGGAGAGGAGCUCUUGUAAAUGGGAUUAGCGCCCUCAGAAGGAGACCCCAGAAAGCUGCCUCUCCCCUCCAGUCACAGUGGGCAGGAGAUCUGGGUGAGUGAAAUCAGAGGCUGUCUGAGGGCCAGCUGAGAGGUCCUGCUGCCUGGAUACCCAGCCACCAGUGGCCUCAUAUUUGGUGGACAUAGGGAGAGAGGUCUAGGAAUUCCAGGCUCAAAUGACAACAGAGAGAGACACCAUCUGUUGUAUGAGCAAAUUGCAGCCAGGAGUUUGGUCUGGGUCUGAAUUCUGCCAUCCCUGCCUGGGCUGUGUGCAUCUCAUUGCUCGGAUCUCAUGUAAGGCAACAGAGAAACAAAAAAGCCAUGCCACCAUGGAAAUAACCAUUAACAUGAUGAGCAAACACUGAUACCACAUCUGACAUGACUUUGUGGCCUUGGCCCCUCCCGGCGUUUCAGCAAAAAUUGUGCCCUUUGGAUUGUGCAUUUCCAGCUAGAUCUGCAGCCCGUCUGUUGCAUUUCUCUUUCCAUUCCUUCUCCACCAUUAGAGGUAGAUAUUCAAGGCUCCAAAAAGUAUAAGACUUUCGUCUCGCCUUCAGAGGGCUUUCAGU